rnacentral:rRNA from 1 species
UACGUAGGGUCCGAGCGUUGUCCGGAAUUAUUGGGCGUAAAGGGCUCGUAGGCGGUUCGUCACGUCGGGAGUGAAAACUCGGGGCUUAACCCCGAGCCUGCUUCCGAUACGGGCAGACUAGAGGUAGGCAGGGGAGAGCGGAACUCCUGGUGUAGCGGUGGAAUGCGCAGAUAUCAGGAGGAACACCGGUGGCGAAGGCGGCAUCCUGGACCGGCAUUGACGCUGAGGCGCGAAAGCCAGGGGAGCAAACGGG